AAUCCGUUUUAGUCACGUGUCUGGUUCAUUGUAGAAGCCUCUCGAUCCUUUAUAUAUAAUCUGCUACCUGGCGUUGAACAAGGGAAGAUUGUAAGAGGUCUCUAGCUAAAAAGGUGAACACAGAAUUGUUAUACUGCAAUGUAUGUAUAUAACCCCCCGGACAAUUCGAUCAUUCUGGAGGCAAUAGUCCGUUUGGGGAAGGCUAUUCGAAUUGGCUCCACUAUUAAUCCUCAGAAAAGAAGCGACGAGUAUACGAGAGAUGACCCAGACGUGUAUCACGACGACUGUGUCAUGGUCUUUGCUGCAAGUGGUAACAUGAAGGCCGAUGAAAAUCAUCUGUUCCAGCUAUGUGAGGGAACUGCGUCCGGUGUAAUGAAUGUACAGAAAAGAAGCAACGCGGAGCCAGAGCCAGGCUUUGUCUACGUCAUCGUCUCCAGCGUGGAAAUGUUUGAAAAGUGCCUCAAAAUUUGGAAGACCAGUCAACAAUUCAAUAUGGACCCCGUGCUUGUGGCGGCGAUAAUAAAUCUCUGAUUCAGACUUUUUGAAAACCAGAUGACAAUUAAACAACCGGACCGAUUCGCUUCCUCGCUCAGGCUAAGACUGCGGCCCUAGCACCCAAUCAGUCCGUGCCUCUUAGGUGUUCCAUGGAAGAGGACAUCAUUUUGGUUUUGCUUUUUUUUUUCUCUAAAUUAAACAAAUUGCACCUUUGA